UCGGAUCGGGAUNAAACCAUGUCAGNNGUGCGUUCCUUGGCUACAGGGGACGCAGCGUACGGCUCAGUAACACGUAGUCAACCUGCCCUGGAGACGCGGACAAACCCGGGAAACUGGGGCCUAUCCGCGAUAGGUGGCCUCAUCUGGAAGGAGAGGCCGUUGAAAAGGGCGUACGGGUAUGCUCUGUGCGCACCGCUUCAGGAUGGGACUGCGGCCGAUCAGGCUGUUGGCGGGGUAAUGGCCCACCAAACCUGUAACCGGUACGGGCUUUGAGAGAAGGAGCCCGGAGAUGGACACUGAGACAAGGGUCCAGGCCCUACGGGGCGCAUCAGGCGCGAAAACUUCGCAAUGCGCGAAAGCGUGACGAGGCUAGUCCGAGUGCCCCCUGCUAAAGGGAGCUUUUCUCGGCUGUAAAUAGGCCGGGGAACUAGGGGAGGGCAAGUCUGGUGU
rnacentral:rRNA from 1 species